UACGUAGGGUGCAAGCGUUAAUCGGAAUUACUGGGCGUAAAGCGUGCGCAGGCGGUUGUGCAAGACAGAUGUGAAAUCCCCGGGCUCAACCUGGGAACUGCAUUUGUGACUGCACGGCUAGAGUGUGUCAGAGGGGGGUAGAAUUCCACGUGUAUCAGUGAAAUGCGUAGAUAUGUGGAGGAAUACCGAUGGCGAAGGCAGCCCCCUGGGAUAACACUGACGCUCAUGCACGAAAGCGUGGGGAGCAAACAGG
rnacentral:rRNA from 1 species